UAACAAGGUAGCCGUAGGAGAACCUGCGGCUGGAUCACCUCCUUUCUAAGGAUAAUUUCGG
rnacentral:rRNA from 1 species